rnacentral:lncRNA from 1 species
AUUGUUAGUUAGUUUCGAUUACAUCAUGUAGUUUAUUUGACCAUUGGAUGAACUACUUGCUUUCACUUUAUGGAAAAGAACAUAGUUAUUAUGUAAACACAUGUUAUUUGGAAUGGAGAGCAUAUUUCAAGAGGACACACACCGUCAGUACGCAGCAGGGACAGGGAGAAGCAAAAUUUGAUUUCUCACAUUGACACAAAAUUUGCCACCACCAACUGAGGAGGAGACAAGCAUGGAGGAGAAUGAUUUUGAUGAUCCAGAACCAAAAAC